GGGCAUGCUGUGGAGACAAAGGAAAGAGGUGAAUGAGCUGGGGUCUCCAGGUCCGCCCUAGUCACUGGGGAAUCAGAGGGGUGUCCUACAGCUGAGGGCGUGUGACAGGGAAACUCUGCAGCUUGCAGGUGUCCCUGAGUGUGCGUCGCAUGCUCUGUUCCUCCUCCACAGGAGGGUCGCUUCACUAGAGCGCCUGGCAGUUAGCCAGGAUCGCAUGGCUGCAUUCUAGCCGCGGUGACAGAGGAAGACUCCAUCUUGAAAAAGAAGCGGUGAAAGAAGACCACUGGAUGGAAAUCUCUCCCAAGCCAGCACCCUGUGAACCCUGAAGAUAACCCAUACGUAUCACACCCAGUGUGCAAGUGAUUGUUCUGGCACCAUGCCCAGCAAGUGCUAAACAUGGGUCAGAGUCAGACUACAUUUUCCUCAGUGCUCGGUGGUCCUGGCUGGCACUCGGGAAGCUCUGUUCCCAGGGAGCAGGUCUGAGAAGCAGUGGUGGAGUUCCCUGAGAUACCGUCAUUGCGUAGCCAGCAGCGGCAGUACAGCCAGCAAGCGGUAAAUUGCUAGAAUGAGAUGUUGUACUGUUUUUUAAAAUUAAAAAUGCAUGGAAGAAGAGCGGCCGGAUAUAGCAAGUAUGAAUAGGGAAUGCCAAGUGGAAUUUGACUUCAAGAUAAACAGUAGACUGAGUCACUGACCGUUUAUCAGCAUCCAAAUGGCAGGAAAGAGCACUGACAUUCUGUGCUGUGAGCAGGAGGAGUGUUAGGAAACUGGUCAGAGGAGAUGCGGACGAUGGCCAAAAAAUGAGCAAAUGGAAAAAGAAUAAUUCAGAUCCAGUUUCCAUUAUCCAGAAGUAUGGUGCCGAUGCGCUCAGAGCCAUGUCAGAUAUAUCUCUGCUGGAGCGAAUAGAUCUGUGCUAGAGCCUGGUUGUGGUGCUGCCAGAGAAACACAGCAGGACGAAGAAGAAAUAGAAUGUCUCUACAAUGAGGACACGGUUAGAAAAAGCCCCAACGUUACAGACCAGUGGACUCUGUCCUUCAUGCAGUCUCUCAUUGGCUUCUUUGAGACUGAAAUGGCAGAUUAUCUUCUUGACUUAAACCACAGUGAAACCUUCCUUCAAACUACAUUUCUUCCUAAAGACUUCACCUACUUUGCAAACCAUACCUGCCCUGAAAGGCUCCCUUCCAUGAAGGGCCCAAUAGACAUAAACAUGAGUGAAAUUGGAAUGGAUUACAUGCAUGAACUCUUCUCCAAAGACCCAACCAUCAAGCUCGGAGGUCACUGGAAGCCUUCUGAUUGCAUGCCUCGGUGGAAGGUGGCGAUCCUCAUCCCCUUUCGGAACCACCACGGGCACCUCCCAGUCCUGAUCAGACACCUGAUUCCCAUGCUUCAGCGCCAGCACCUGCAGUUUGCAUUUUAUGUGGUUGAACAAGUUGGUACCCAGCCCUUUAAUCGAGGCAUGCUUUUCAAUGUUGGCUUUUGAGAAGCGAUGAAGGACUUGGAUUGGGACUGUUUAAUUUUUCAUGAUGUGGAUCACAUACCAGAAAGUGAUUGCAACUAUUAUGGAUGUGGACAGAUGCCAAGGCAUUUUGCAGCCACAUUGGAUAAGUACAUGUAUCUGCUUCCUUAUACUGAGUUCUUUGGCAGAGUGAGUGGCUUAACAGUGGAACAGUUUCAGAAGAUCAACGGCUUUCCUAAUGCUUUCUGGGGAUGGGGUGGAGAAGAUGACGACCUCUGGAACAGGUUGGUACGCAGCCCUUUAAUCGAGGCAUGCUUUUCAACGUUGGCUUUUGAGAAGCCAUGAAGGACUUGGAUUGGGACUGUUUAAUUUUUCAUGAUGUAGAUCACAUACCAGAAAGUGAUCGCAACUAUUAUGGAUGUGGACAGAUGCCAAGGCAUUUUUCAGCCACAUUGGAUAAGUAUAUUUAUGUCUGCUUCCUUAUACUGAGUUCUUUGGCAGAGUGAGUGGCUUAACAGUGGAACAGUUUCGGAAGAUCAACGGCUUUCCUAAUGCUUUCUGGGGAUGGGGUGGAGAAGAUGACGACCUCUGGAACAGAGUCCAGAAUGCAGGCUAUUCCGUGAGCCGGCCAGAGGGUGACACAGAAAAAGUACAGGUCCAUUCCUUAUCACCAUCGAGGAGAAGUCCAGUUUCUUGGAAGGUAGGCUCUGCUAAGGAAGUCAAAAGAACAGCAAGGGCUGGAUGGCCUCAACAACCUGAACUACUUUGCAAACAUCACAUAUGACGCCUUGUAUAAAAACGUAACUGUCAACCUGACACCCGAACUGGUCUGCAGAAAUCUGGAAAAUGCCAGUUUUCCUCGUCCUCCCCUUUCUUUUCCAUACAACAUAUUUAUAUAUUGUGAUGAGGAGUACUUUCUGAAGAGUACUUCGUAUUUUUUUAAUUGCCUUGUUUGCCUUCAACGUCCUGGAUUGUCGUGGUUUCCAUGGGUGUGUGUAGGGGUGUGUGUGUGUGUGUGUGUGUGUACGUGUGGGUUAGGGCUUCUGUGCUGCAUGUGAUGGUUCUGUGGACAUAUGAUCCCCGCAAACUGUGUGAGUGAUCAUAUGUUUUUAUGUUUGUUUUCUUUUGAAGAAUAGAGUGGUAUUUAGAAAAUAAAUUCCAUAUCAAAGCUCUUAUCGGCUCGUAUGAGAGAGCAGGCUCCUGCCCUUGAAAAUGCUGGUAAGCUAUAGCAUAUGUUUUUUAAAACUUUUAAGCAUUUCAUGCUUUAAAAUACCUUCACAAGGGAGCAUUACACACAGAGGUUCAUUUGGUUUACCUUUGUUUUAGGGUGCAUAGAGCAAUAAAGGACCCCCAACCCCAUUUUGCCCUCCGCCAUGCAACCCCACCCCCACCGGGCCUUUGUCCUUGCCUCAGCUUUUCUCCCCUUCUCAUUCUCCUCCCCCUUUUCCUCACUGAAGGCUGUGAAUGGCUUUCAUUGUGACAACACUGUGAUGUCAUUUGGAAGGAUUUGCCAGUAGAGACUGAUUCUGAGUUACAGGUGGCAGUGUUGUUUGAAGCUCUACAUUACUGUAAUUACCACCAAGUACACACUGUUGGCAAAAGACUAACACCUGAGUUUUAAAAUGCUGAUUUGAGAACAAAAGGAAAGGUCUCUUCUCAGUGCUUAAGGUGGGGUCACAUCGAUACCCCUGUGGUCACAAGUCUGUCUGAUGAGUGUGGAAUCUCUGAAUGUAACAGUCAUGGGUCCCCCGGGUCUUGAAUAUUAUAUGGGAAAUGUAGUUAAAAAUGUACAGCCAGGCCCGUGUGCUGUUAAUAGUGUGGAAUUGUCAUGUUAAAAAAAAACAGGAACCAAAUGUGACCUUGUGUAUAUGCUGACAGCUGAAAUUCUUUAUGGCUACUGAUGGGUGGCCCCUUAAAUUAAUCUUGUCUUUGAUUGCUGUGUGCAGGGAAAGGUGUCCCUGUUCAUGCUGUUUUCAGGGGAAAGCGGGUACUUGCAAGAAUACUCAUUUUGACAUAAUAGGUCCUCUUGUCUGAGAUCCUCUACCACAGACAUUAAUAGCUGAGCAGCAGCCACAUGGAUUGAUUGUAUCCACCACCGUUGACAAUAGCAUUGAGCAUAGCUAGCUUAUUUCCAUCACUACGUGUUUUUGAACUUGCUCUUAUGUUUUAAGAGGUGCCAGGGGUACAUUUCUGCACUGAAAUCUAAAGAUGUUUUAAAAAACACUUUUCACAAAAAAUAGUCCUUUGUCAUUACAUUUUUUACUCAUGUGUUUGUACAUUUUUGUAUGUUAAUUUAUGAAUGAUUUUUUCAGUAAAAAAUACAUAUUCAAGAACCAAA